AUUAAAUCUCAGCCCUGUAAACUCACAAAAAUAACUGCUGUGAUGGUAGUUCAGAGCAGUUAUUUUAAGUUUUCUCAACCGAUGGUAAUCUCCACCUUUCUCUACCCACGUCUACGGUAACCUCCGUUAUUUUUCCUCCCCACGUAGCAUCUAACCUUCAUAUAGCCUUCCUUUUUAGCAGAUCUGAUAUAUACAUUCCUACAGUGAUACAGACGAGCAUCCUUCUAUAGCAAUCUCAAACCUUCGUUCAAGCGAUAUUUAAUCGCAAUCUGAUAAGCAUUAUGGUUUCUUAUGAUUAUAAAUUUUGUGUUUGUUAUCAAAACUGGAUGAAAUUGUCAAGCACUAUUGUAAUUUCUUCUACUACCCACCAGAUUUGCCCUCAAAAUUCUAGCCCUUUUCUCCAUUCAUCAAAUAUGUGGCUGAUCUCAACACAACAACCACAAAUGGCGUUUUCCUGCAGCGGCUUAACCCUCAAGCUUCAUGUUCUAGAGCGACCAUAUCUUAGAAGGAUUGGUUGAGGAAGGUUUCACACUAAAUCAUUCCCCUCCCCACCGGUCAGUGGUUAAAUUGGCGGAGUCGAUCUUUAUUCUUCAUAAUUUCCGCUCCCUAGGGUUUGCUUCUCGACGUCUGACCUCUUAUCUUCGAUUCACCGCCCUCCGCCUCUACUUGGAUCGUACUCAACCUUCAACUCCUAAAAAUCAAGUUUAGCAUCUUGGACUGUAUUGGAACUGGCAAUGGCCUCCUUCAAGAGCUUGCCAAACAGGGGUUUAAGGGGCUGCCAAUGAGGGUGGUAGAGGUCUUUUAUUAUUACACAAAGCAAUUCCAUUUAUCUCCUUCAAUUCGGUCAUAAUUGGUUCUCGCGAUUUGAUAUGGCAAUUUAUUUCGGCAUUGCAUUUUUUGAUGAGAAUUGUAAUGAGCGCAUUCAAAGGCUCGCUAGCUAGAACGGAGCACAUCAUAGGAGGUUUCUCUGGUUGGAGUUGUACACAUUCGUGAAGCCACAUUGACAAAGCGACUGAUUAUGUUUGAAAACAUAAAAGUUCUGUUAUUUCUCUUUCGGGUUUCAUUGCUUCGAUACCUCAGGAGGUGUUUGGUCAUGCUAACUGCUACAACCACUUUUACAUCUUUGGGUAAAAGGACAGUUGGGUAACGGGUCAAACGGUGAUGAUAGAUGCGAGCCAAUUGAGAAGUUAAGGCAAUAUAUGUUGUAUGUUAUAUUCAGGGUCACUGCUACCGAUCGUCACUUGCGUUUUGAAAUCACCACCGCACCGCCUUCGCUGCAACCCUAGAAGCCCACCAGCCUGUUUUCUCCAUUCCACACAACACAGAGUCAAGGGUUUUGAUUUCAAGAUGAUUAAUGUGAUGGAUGAUGUGAAUAAAUUAUGCAUCAAGUGGGUUCAAGCAAUUCGAAAAGUUAACAAAAGAUGGAGCAAAGCAAAGCUUUUCGUUAAUUUCAGUAACUAAGGGUGUUCGAGCAGUGAAAACCAAAUUUCAUCGGCAACAGAAUCACGCAUUUCAACAAAGACAUUUAUCGAAAUUCAAGUUCCCCGAAAUUUAUUGUGAUUCAGUCAUCUCUUCCACUGCAAAGUGCUAAUCUCCAGUUGUUAAACCUCAUCUCAAACUGGUAUUUCUUUUGCCUAACUUAUCUCCAUUUGGUUUUGAUAUUUAGUGAUAAAAUUCUUUCGUUCGGGACGGUUCACCACUCCAUAAUUGCAGGUCUACUGCUUUUGUUCUUCUCAAAUUCUUCCAGCAAUGUAAUCAGUUCCAUUUAAUUUAUCACCGAAAGGCUUGACACGAUAUAAUUAUUAAAAGGAGUAACAUUAACCCUGAAAUCAUAAAGUUAGACUCUUUAUUUCUAUUGCAGACUAGAAGAAUGAUUGUUGUGUGGGGAAAAAUUGCUAGAGGGGAAGUUAAAUGUGGUUGUUAUACCUAAUACUCUUUGUCUUGCAGGUGAAUUUUUGUGUACUUUGACUUUUAAGAGUCAAAGAAUUAUUACUAGAAGCACAAUAUACGACUUUGAUUUUAAAAACCAGAAUUGGAUAGUAAGGAGAAUAGUGUUACGGCGCGAUUCUUUUGCUUGGAGUGGUAAUAGUCAGAUAAUAAAAUAUUCAACCGUCAAUGACCCAAUGGUAUAUUUGAAUUUAGUUCGGUCUUCAAGUUACAAAUAUCAUUUUGAAAUAAAUCUAUAAGUAGAAAUAUAUUGUUCUUAUUUGAUUUUGUUGUUGUGCAGGUAUUUUUUUAUAAUGGUUAAUAACUAGUGGGUUAUAUAUAAUUGAUGUUUUUUAAUUUAUACAUAUGUAUAUGGAAGCAGAUGUUGAGAUCUUUAUGUUGUAUGUGUAUUACCAGGGAGCUUAUUAAGGAUCCUAUCUACUAUGCUAUUACAAUCGCUCUAUGUUGUGCAAUCUACUCAAGAAUGUCCCUGGUUGCCAUUGUCGGAAUUUGCUAUCUUCGUGUAUUGCUGACAUUAUUGAGACGUUGUUGGUUUGGAAAGAAGGUGUAUUGUUUGCUAGCUCAAUUGCCAUGGCUACAACUGGUGUCACCGUAUCUAUCCAUUGUUCAUUUUGUCAUCUCCUACUUCAAAAAAAAAAGAUUUUUUACAGGUUUAUAAAUGAUCAUAGUGAAUGAUUGGUUCGAUUUGGCUGAUGAGGUGGACUUUGGUUAGACGUAUAGGUCACUGGCAGAGUUAAAAGGGGCGCAUGGGGUUAAUUUUUGCUGGAGAUGGAUGGGGAACCUUACGGAUCAGGAAGAGACGCAGGAGGUAAACCAUGUAAGGAAUAUAACUGAAAAUUACACCAUUUCACACAACAACGAUAGAUAGACUUGGACGGGAGACCCAACGGGUUGUUUUUCGAUAAGUUUGGUGCUUAAAUUUUUCCACUUUGGCUGUACAUCUGAAGACAAACAAUCUAGCACAAGAUUGAUGCUGAAAGAUGCAGUUAAUUCUGUUAUUCUUCCGGUCAUGGACGAUUUAAUUAAUGCAAUAUAUUCUAUGGCGAAAGCUCAUGCUCACGUUUAGUAAAAUCUUUACUCUUUUUACUGUGAUAUAACACCACAAUUUACUUUUGUUAUAUAAUAUUUAUAUGUUUGAACUUGCAA